rnacentral:rRNA from 1 species
CCUAAAGGCGUAAUGAAAGUAAAGGUCGUCCUUGUGUCGACUGAGGGAGGAUGGGCUAUGUUACGAGAUAGCUCCGCACUCCCGGGGCGUCUCAUUCUCAUUGCGAGAAGAGGCGCACCUAGAGCGUACACGUUGGGACCCGAAAGAUGGUGAACUAUGCCUGGUCAGGACGAAGUCAGGGGAAACCCUGAUGGAGGUCCGUAGCGAUUCUGACGUGCAAAUCGAUCGUCGGAACUGGGUAUAGGGGCGAAAGACUAAUCGAACCAUCUAGUAGCUGGUUCCCUCCGAAGUUUCCCUCAGGAUAGCUGGCACUCAUAUUGUUACGAGUCUCAUCUGGUAAAGCGAAUGAUUAGAGGCCUUGGGGCCGAAACGACCUCAACCUAUUCUCAAACUUUAAAUGGGUGAGAUCUCUGGCUUGCUUGAAUAUAUGAAGCCAUGAGAUAUUAUUAUAUUGGAUCAGAGUGCCAAGUGG